rnacentral:rRNA from 1 species
UACGUAGGGUGCGAGCGUUAAUCGGAAUUACUGGGCGUAAAGCGUGCGCAGGCGGUUGUGCAAGACAGGUGUGAAAUCCCCGGGCUUAACCUGGGAACUGCACUUGUGACUGCAAGGCUAGAGUAUGGCAGAGGGGGGUGGAAUUCCACGUGUAGCAGUGAAAUGCGUAGAGAUGUGGAGGAACACCGAUGGCGAAGGCAAUCCCCUGGACCUGUACUGACGCUCAUGCACGAAAGCGUGGGGAGCAAACAGGAUUAGAACUA